rnacentral:lncRNA from 12 species
AUGCAGGGGUGCAGCCCCCCACCCGACGCAGAGGUGCGGCCCCCGCCUCAACGCAGGGGUGCGGCCCUUGUCCCGACGCAGGGGUGCGACCCUCGUCCCUCAUCCGGACGCAGGGGUGCGGCCCCCCACCCGACGCAGGGGUGCGGCCCCAGUCCCGACGCAAGGGUGCGGCCCUCGUCCCGAUGCAGGGGUGCGGCCCCCGCCCCGAAGCAGGGAUGCGGCCCCCGCCCCGACGCAGCAGUGCGGCCCCCGCCCCGACGCAGGGGUGCAGCCCCCGUCCCUCGUCCCGACGCAGGGGUGCGGCCCCCCACCCGACGAAGGCGUGCGGCCCCCGUCCCGACGCAGAGGAUUCUCAUUGGACUGCUCUGGCCUUCAGCUGACAUCAGUGGCAGUGCAAGCUUCUCUGUGAAGGAAUCCUACUGCUUCCACAACCCACUGCAUAGUGACCUCCACACCUUUGCUCAGAGGCAAAGAGAGACAGUAUGUAGCAGUGAUGCACCGCGAGCCCGGGAGUGCCUCUUGGAUGCCCGACACAUCAAGUGGGCACAUCAAGUGGGCCAUCAGGUACAUGGGACUUGA